GUCCUAGUCGAUUAGUGGUCAAAUCAUCUCGUUGUGGUUGGGCUCCGAGAAGCCGGAAGUUCGAAUCCUCCCUGGGACA